UGGCUGUAACCAAAUCAAGUGGCUCAUAGAAGUUAACUGGCCAGUCCUUGUGAGAUCUCUUUCUUCGAUCUCUGUCAACAAUCUGCUUACCGAACUUCUAACGUUC